GCCCCCAGCCAUAUCACCCUGCAGCCCAAGACUGGUUGCCCACUGAAGCUAAGCAGGGGUGAGCCUGAUCAGUACCUGGAUGGGAGACCUCCUGGGAAAACUAGGUAGCUGCUGGAA
ensembl:rRNA 5S_rRNA 5S ribosomal RNA